UAUUGUUUGUUUGUUUAUUUGUUUGUUUAUUAAUACUGUCAACCCCAAGCUGGGGUUUUUACAGGACAAAAAAAAAGAAAGAAGAAAUGGUCAUGAAAUACGUUACAAAAUAGAGACAUACAGCGAACACAGGCAUUUACACUGAAAGACAAAAUUAAACACAGGCAUGUGCACUUGCAUUCUGCGCAUUGAAAACAACAAUUAACAAAGCGAGAGGCAAUAUACAUUGACAU